rnacentral:rRNA from 1 species
AACAAUGGCCAUGCUUGUGAACGUCCAAUCUCAUCAGAAUUUAGAAGCUAAGCAAGGCUGGGCUUGGUUAGUACCUGGAUGGGAGAUGCUGGGAAUACCACCGGGUGCCACAGUGG